AAUUUAAUACAAUGUCAAGAAUAUUGUUGUUAUGUUUAACAGCAAUGCUACUAGUCUAUCACACGCAUCUAAAAACUGUGAACAAAGCAGCUAGGCUGACAAGAAAAAUUAUUAUUAUACAGAUAUGAAUAUUUCAAAUGCAAAUUAGCCUAGGAAAUGCACCUUCUAUACUUCAUUUUGGUCCUUAUUUAUUGCUUGCAUGGUUUUUAACUAUAAAUAUCCAUAUUAAAUGAAGACGUUGGGAUUCCUUUCCUGUUCCCAUUCAUCCAUCAGAAAGUUAAUUCAUGAUGGAAUAGCUCAUAUAAUUAUCUACUAAAUUUUGUAGUAAAGAUAUAACAAGUUUUGCAGCUAUAAGGCCUACCCUGCCCUUCUUCAUGAUGUGCAGGAUUUUGGUGCUCCACAUCAUCCUAGCAGAAUGACCUAGUGUGUGGAUUUAAUUUGAGAUGUCAAUGUUUAGAUGAUCUCAAUGGUCAGGUGGAUUGUGGCUAUUCUGUUGUCAAAAUGACCAGCAAAGCAUAGUUAUUAGAUUGUAGAAUUAAGGUUGGCCUUUACACUCUUUUGGUUCAAAUAACACAAUUUAAGAAAUGGAACGGGGAAACAUAUUGUGAACAAUGAAGAUUAACAAUCACAAAUUUUGGUAUUUGUUUUGUGGGGAUUAGGUAACAAAAUUUAGGUGGUGGUUUGCUCAUAAUGCUAUUUGUGCAUAAUACAUAACCCCUAUCUAGGUCUUUGUAUAGAUACAUUAAAAUGCUGUUGUGUCAUUGCUGUGUCUGUCCUACUUCUCUUGAACUUGCUACUUUCUACCCUUGCUUCACGGCAUCAUGUACAAACUAUUCAUGUUAUUAUGUUGUUUGACUAUAAUAAUGUUGUUAUGAUGGUUUUCCAUUGUUCCCCACCUCAGGUGAAAAUGGUGCUGAAAUAAUUGCACGAUUGAAGCGAGACUUGCUCCCUACGAUGCUGAGUGGUGUUAUGUAUUGGCCCAUAUGUGAUUUUGUGACAUUCAAAUUCAUCCCCGUUCAUUUACAGCCAUUGGUGAGCAAUUCAUUUUCAUAUUUAUGGACUAUUUACAUGACAUACAUGGCAAGCUUAGAUAAAGCAAGCAGCACUACUUAAGUGAGAUGUAUCAGCUGAUGACCCAAUGGUACUGCUGAUGCGUUGGAUCAUACUCACUGCACCUCCUCGUCAUGUGCAUUUGCGUUGAAUCAUACACGCCGAACUCCAUGAGUGCAUCUGCAGAUGAUGGGACGUCUAAAGCAGGAGUGUGGUUGAAGAACCAGAAGAGCCCAUAUAUUUAUCAGUUGAGCAGUAAAAAUCAGGCACGGUUGUGUUUUUGUGAUCAACUCUAUGAUGUUAGAACUAUAUUUAAUUGAAAUAAUAUUUGUAUUGACAUCUACUUGUAAGCUACAGAAGUUUUUUCUUUUUAAUUCACUUGUAUCACUCUCUUGCUUCCAACUACAGCUUUUCAA